rnacentral:rRNA from 1 species
CCUACGGGGGGCAGCAGCAAGGAAUAUUGGACAAUGGGCGAAAGCCUGAUCCAGCGACACCGCGUGGGGGAAGAAGGCCCUCGGGUUGUAAACCCCUUUUCCCGGGGAAGAAUAAUGACGGUACCCGGGGAAUAAGCCCCGGCUAACUACGUGCCAGCAGCCGCGGUAAUACGUAGGGGGCGAGCGUUAUCCGGAUUUACUGGGCGUAAAGCGGGCGUAGGCGGCCUGUCAAGUCAGAUGUGAAAUCUCCCGGCUUAACUGGGAGGGUGCACUCGAUACUGAUGGGCUAGAGUGCAGCAGAGGAAGGUGGAAUUCCCGGUGUAGUGGUGAAAUGCGUAGAUAUCGGGAAGAACACUAGUGGCGAAGGCGGCCUUCUGGGCUGUAACUGACGCUGAGGUCCGAAGGCGUGGGUAGCAAACAGGAUUAGAUACCCCGGUAGUCC